CAUCAUCAGGAAUGACGCUAGGGAAAAAUAUACAUGUUAUAUAUACAAGAUCAAAUAUAUAACAUGUAUAUUUUUCCGUAGCGUUAUUCCUGAUGAUG
rnacentral:miRNA from 1 species